GGAGCGGUGGCUCAGUGGUAGAGCAUCCAUUUUGCAUGCAGAAGGGCCAAUGUUCAAUUCUUGGCAGCUCUA
rnacentral:tRNA from 1 species